UCCACGCUGUAAACGAUGAGUGCUAAAUGUGAGGAUUUUAUCUUUGUAUUGUAGCUAACGCGUUAAGCACUCCGCCUGGGGACUACGGUCGCAAGACUAAAACUCAAAGGAAUUGACGGGGACCCGCACAAGCGGUGGAGCAUGUGGUUUAAUUCGAUGCUACGCGAAAAACCUUACCACUUUUUGACAUGAAGGUCGUAUCCCUCCUAACAGGGGGAGUCAGUUCGGCUGGACCUUACACAGGUGCUGCAUGGUUGUCGUCAGCUCGUGUCGUGAGAUGUUGGGUUAAGUCCCGCAACGAGCGCAACCCUCAUUCUUAGUUACCAACAGGUAAUGCUGGGCACUCUAAGGAAACUGCCAGUGAUAAACUGGAGGAAGGUGGGGAUGAUGUCAAAUCAGCAC
rnacentral:rRNA from 1 species